rnacentral:misc_RNA from 1 species
CAACACAUGGUACCUUCUACCAGUAGAUCCACGUCUGUCUGUAUACGCUGUGUUAUAUGUGCGAGACAAUACAUCUUCCUUCAUUGAUAGUUAUGAGGAUUUCUCAGAGAAAUAAAAAGACUUUUACAUUGCAUGUGGCCGUUCAUCUGUACAUGUUUUGCCAGGCCACAACAUUCUUUCAUUAGCGAUUGUUACUUAUCUUUGUGAUUCUAUUCAUUCCAGCUCGUUUCUGGCUUUUAUCUCUUUAUCCUAGCAUAAAUAAAAAGCUUGCAAAAAAACCCAAGAGAAUAAAUACAUGAAAUAUUGCUUGUGAGGUGACAAGGACAAGAUUUAAAUUCUUUAAGUAUUGUGGGGAUCAGCUCUCCUGUGAAAUCAGUGUCUUCAAUGUUAUCAUGUGUAAAAUUGCAGGAGAAAAGCAGACAGGCAGAAAUCAACCUUGAACGGUUUUGUUAUAACUUUUUGUUGAUGACCGAGGGGUCGUGUUGUUAUUAUAUAAUAGGAAAAACGCUGUCUUUCAUUUCUCCGUUUUGUUCAAAUUUGCUCCCCAGAAACUAUAAAUAAUGUCUCUUGAUUUUUUUUUAUUAAAAUUCACGUGCAUUUUAUGCAAGAAACAUGGUAAAAAGUGAAAAAAAAAUGAUUGUUUGCAUUCGAUUUUUUUUUCACUAAUGAUUGACACUUCUUUGCAAUAAAAAUGAAGGAAGUUUUGUACAAACUGUUGACUGUUUUAAUAAAAUGUGUAAUUAUUUUU